rnacentral:rRNA from 1 species
UACGUAGGGUGCGAGCGUUAAUCGGAUUUACUGGGCGUAAAGCGUGCGCAGGCGGCCCGUUAAGACAGGUGUGAAAUCCCUGGGCUCAACCUAGGAAUUGCACUUGUGACUGGCGGGCUCGAGUGCGGUAGAGGGGGGUGGAAUUCCUGGUGUAGCAGUGAAAUGCGUAGAGAUCAGGAGGAACACCGAUGGCGAAGGCAGCCCCCUGGGCCUGUACUGACGCUCAUGCACGAAAGCGUGGGGAGCAAACAGG